UAGGGAAUCUUCGGCAAUGGGGGCAACCCUGACCGAGCAACGCCGCGUGAGUGAAGAAGGUUUUCGGAUCGUAAAGCUCUGUUGUAAGAGAAGAACGUGUGUGAGAGUGGAAAGUUCACACAGUGACGGUAACUUACCAGAAAGGGACGGCUAACUACGUGCCAGCAGCCGCGGUAAUACGUAGGUCCCGAGCGUUGUCCGGAUUUAUGGGGCGUAAAGGGAGCGCAGGCGGUUUAAUAAAUCUGAAGUUAAAGGCAGUGGCUUAACCAUUGUUCGCUUUGGAAACUGUUAAACUUGAGUGCAGAAGGGGAGAGUGGAAUUCCAUGUGUAGCGGUGAAAUGCGUAGAUAUAUGGAGGAACACCGGUGGCGAGAGCGGCUCUCUGGUCUGUAACUGACGCUGAGGCUCGAAAGCGUGGGGAGCAAACAGG
rnacentral:rRNA from 1 species